rnacentral:tRNA from 1 species
GCCUUCGCUAGGCGACGGCCCACCCAUCAAGCAUUCAGGUUGCUUCGACGGGUGGCGCUGCGGGUUCGAAUCCCGCCGGAGGCA